rfam:Oryza barthii chromosome 6, whole genome shotgun sequence.
AAAAAAAACAAACUCUGAUUUUCGUGUCUAACGUUUGACUGUCCGUCUUAUAUGAAAAUUUUUAAUAAUUAGUAUUUUUAUUGUUGUUAGAUGAUAAAACAUGAUUAAUACUUUAUGCGUGACUUGUCUUUUUAAUUUUUUUCAUAAUUUUUUUAAAUAAGACGAACGGUCAAACGUUGAAUACGGAAACCCAGAGUUUGUCUUUUU